UCAAGUGGUCAGGAUGAUUAUUGGGCCUAAAGCAUCCGUAGCCGGCUCUGUAAGUUUUCGGUUAAAUCUGUACGCUUAACGUACAGGCCGCCGGGAAUACUGCAGAGCUAGGGAGUGGGAGAGGUAGACGGUACUCGGGAGGAAGUGGUAAAAUGCUUUGAUCUCUCGAUGACCACCUGUGGCGAAGGCGGUCUACCAGAACACGUCCGACGGUGAGGGAUGAAAGCUG
rnacentral:rRNA from 1 species